AUAAAAAAAAUAAAAAAAGUAUUUCUAGUUGAUUUUUUAAUUUGUUGAUUUUGCUAACUGAAUUUAGUGUCAUAAUGCAGGUGUUGAAGCAAGAGGGUUCAUAUUUGGUCCUCCUAUUGCAUUGGCUCUUGGCGAGAAAUUUGUUCCCGUCAGAAAACCUGUGACGUUGAUUCGGAAGGGGACGCUCAAGAAGAAAAUCUUGUAUGGGUUGAUGCUAGGGCAGAGGAGACUUGGAUUGAAAAGUUUAACUUAGUUAUCAAGGAGCUGGUUAAGGAAAAUGAUGAAGAAAAAGAAAGAGAGGUUUAAUGGAAUUAUUGCGGGGUUGUUGGCUGACAAAGAAAAAGAUAAGGUGGAUAAAGAUGCGAUGCUUGAUAGGAUGUCACAAAAUUGAAGCUAUGUUAACAACUACAGUUUGAGGAUAGGCUAUAAACACUUGGUUUUGAAUGUUUAGAUGUUUAUCUUAUUAGGAUAAUUUUAGUUAUAUUAUGUUUUAGUUGGUAUUUUUAUAUGCUUUUGAAAACGAGAUGUUUUAUAUAAUUUUGGGAUUUUAUUAGACUUUUUUUA